GUAAAUGGGCUCGUUCAAGUUUACUAAGCUCUUGGCAGAUCUUAGCAAAUCUUGUACCAAAAACUAAAAGUGACUACAUUCUCUCUAAAGAAUAUCUAUAAGAAAACAAUGCAAGCUUUGUUCAAGUAGAUUUCAAUA